rnacentral:rRNA from 1 species
CAGUAGCCGCGGGAAUACGUAGGGUGCAAGCGUUAAUCGGAAUUACUGGGCGUAAAGCGUGCGCAGGCGGUUAUAUAAGUCAGAUGUGAAAUCCCCGGGCUCAACCUGGGAACUGCAUUUGAGACUGUAUGGCUAGAGUGUGUCAGAGGGGGGUAGAAUUCCACGUGUAGCAGUGAAGUGCGUAGAUAUGUGGAGGAAUACCGAUGGCGAAGGCAGCCCCCUGGGAUAACACUGACGCUCAUGCACGAAAGCGUGGGGAGCAAACAGGAUUAGAGACCCGUGUAGUCCCUGUCUCUUAUAC